GAGACAAUAGCGAGCACAAAGCUUAUAAGUAACUUUUCCCUCCAUGUGUGUACAGCUACCUUAAAAGUAUUCUAGUGUGUUCUUAGAAGACUACAAAUCAAGAUGUUCUCCACAAAAAGGAACACUCAAACCAAUGCAAAUAGAAGGAACCGGGGAAGAGAGCGAAAUGUACUCUGCAAAUGCUACCCUAUCAACCUUGUGCCCUGGGCAAAGUCUGUUAGAGGCUGACUGAGUGAGAAAAAAA